AUACUGUCUCGUCUUUCAGCAACCCCAUGGGUUUGAACUUGAGAUGAUUCAUUUUCCUAAAAGCCUCUUCGCGCUGAGGGAAGGCAUGGGUGGCUCUGCGAGUUUUGAAGUGAGGGCUGCCUCUUCUCAGAGCUGCUGCGAGGGCCGGGGCCACCCUCCCAGGCGGUGUCUGUGGGCUGGGCAGCAGCUUUGCAGGUAGCCUGGGUCAUCCCCACUGGUCUGGGAGGCUCAGGGACACCAGCUCCUACUCCUGAUAGGGCCAAGGCACCUUCCUCACCUAAGAGCUGACUGUCUUGAAGAGUGGGCACAGAGGAGCCAGCAACCUGGGCGGUGUAGGCACCCGGGAGAACAUCUGCAGCUCAGUCUCAGAGAGAAGUCUCCUCCAACACAGCUAUUGUAGAGAUGGGGAAACGGGACCGAGAGGGAAGGGGGCGUGCCCAAAUCACCAGGCCUGGAAUGUUUUGAGCUUUGGGGGUGGAUCUCCCAGGAAACGUGUUUUAUGGCACCGCCGCCUCUGGUCACCCACCCCGAGGUGUGGCGGGCCUGGACAGCCAGCUUGACUGAGGGUCAGGCUACUGAAGCCAAACCUACUACUCAGGAAGGAGAAUCAGACCUUCUCCAGACACAGUUCAAAUCUGAGGACUCCCUUCUUUGGGCCUCAGUUUCCUCACCUGAAUUCCAAGGACCCUUCUAGCUCCUACACUCUGGGCCAAGCUUUUCCUCUGAGCCCCAGUCAGCCUAGAGGACCAGGGCUACAUCUUCCUUGGACAGAGACCCACCAUAGGGGCAGCAGGAGGUAGGGGUGGGGGUAGGCAAGGUUCCUGAAGGGAGGUGGAGCUGUCGUCAGAGAUGGUGUCCGCAGGCAGUGGGUGUGUCGUGGCUCUGCUACUACUUGCUGGGUGACCCUGUGCCAUUUCUUUCCCCACUCUGGACCUCAGUUUCCCUAUCUGUUCUAUGGAGAUGAGAUGCCUGCCUACGUAUUUGGGGACUUGGAUGUGUGUGUGGGGCAGUUGCAGUGUUUCUUAGGUGUGGUCCUGGGGCAGCCUGCACCACCCCAUAGAGAUUUCUGGGCCCCAUCCUAGGCUCACAGGACCGGAAUCUCCGAGAAUGAAGCCUGAGAACUUGCAUUUACACAGGCAUCCGGGUGAUUCUGACAUGAUUGAAAACACACUAAUAAUACGUGGCAAGUUCUUUAUAAAAGGGGACUGCUGAAUGGCCCAUGCCGAGCAGAAGCUGAUGGAUGACCCUCUGAACAAAACCCGUUACAACAACCUGAUCCACCCAGCCACCAGCUCCUCACAGCUCAUCUCCAUCGAGACGGAGCUCUCCCUGGCCCAGUGCAUCAGUUGCACAGUGGCCCCCACACACCCAGCCUGUCAAACCUACAGCCCUCAAGAAAGCUUUGGCCAAAUGAAUGAACAGCUCCGUCUCCCAGGAGGAAGCACAGCUGAAGGAUGCGGAGGACAGUAGAGUUGUGGAUGCUCCGCCCCCUCUCUCCACAGUCGGACCAGAAAGAAGGGGGCUUUCAGCCAGGCUCUCCCAGGCUGGGGUCUGAGUGUCACUGUCCAGCUAUUGGCUUCUUGCUUAA